rnacentral:miRNA from 1 species
GUGAAAUUAGAGUACUGUAACU